GGAAUUUUCCGCAAUGGGCGAAAGCCUGACGGAGCAAUACCGCGUGAGGGAAGACUGCCUAUGGGUUGUAAACCUCUUUUUUCAGGGAGGAAUCAAUGACGUGUACCUGAAGAAUAAGCAUCGGCUAACUCCGUGCCAGCAGCCGCGGUAAGACGGAGGAUGCAAGUGUUAUCCGGAAUCACUGGGCGUAAAGCGUCUGUAGGUGGUUUAAUAAGUCAACUGUUAAAUCUUGAGGCUCAACUUCAAAAUCGCAGUCGAAACUAUUAGACUAGAGUAUAGUAGAGGUAAAGGGAAUUUCCAGUGGAGCGGUGAGAUGCGUAGAUAUUGGAAAGAACACCGAUGGCGAAGGCACUUUACUGGGCUAUUACUGACACUCAGAGACGAAAGCUAGGGUAGCAAAUGGGAUUAGAUACCCCUGUAGUC
rnacentral:rRNA from 1 species